rnacentral:rRNA from 1 species
GAUGUUCUAACCCGGGUCCAUAAUCUGGAUCGGGGACCGUGUCUGGUGGGUAGUUUGACUGGGGCGGUCUCCUCCCAAAGAGUAACGGAGGAGCACGAAGGUUGGCUAAGCAUGGUCGGACAUCAUGCGGUUAGUGCAAAGGCAUAAGCCAGCUUGACUGCGAGAGUGACGGCUCGAGCAGGUACGAAAGUAGGUCUUAGUGAUCCGGUGGUUCUGAAUGGAAGGGCCAUCGCUCAACGGAUAAAAGGUACUCCGGGGAUAACAGGCUGAUACCGCCCAAGAGUUCAUAUCGACGGCGGUGUUUGGCACCUCGAUGUCGGCUCAUCACAUCCUGGGGCUGAAGUAGGUCCCAAGGGUAUGGCUGUUCGCCAUUUAAAGUGGUACGCGAGCUGGGUUUAGAACGUCGUGAGACAGUUCGGUCCCUAUCUGCCGUGGGCGCUGGAAGAUUGAGAGGGGUUGCUCCUAGUACGAGAGGACCGGAGUGAACGCACCACUGGUGUACGGGUUGUGAUGCCAAUUGCAUUGCCCGGUAGCUAAGUGCGGAAGAGAUAACCGCUGAAAGCAUCUAAGCGGGAAACUUGCCUCGAGAUGAGUCUUCCCUGAUUCUUUAAGAAUCCUGAAGGAACGUUUGAGACUAAGACGUUGAUAGGCUGGGUGUGUAAGCGCAGCGAUGCGUUGAGCUGACCAGUACUAAUGAACCGUGAGGCUUAACCUGACAACACCGAAGGUGUUU